rnacentral:snRNA from 1 species
GUGCUCACUUCGGCAGCACAUAUACUAAAAUUGGAAUGAUACAGAGAAGAUUAGUAUGGCCCCUGCACAAGGAUGACACACAAAUUCAUGAAGCAUUACAUAUUUUU